rnacentral:rRNA from 1 species
GCAUAUCAAUAAGCGGAGGAAAAGAAACUAACAAGGAUUCCCUUAGUAACGGCGAGUGAAGAGGGAAAAGCCCAAAUUUGUAAUCUGGCUCUUUUUAAAGGGAGUCUGAGUUGUAAUUUUGAGAACUGUUUUCAGUGCUGGACCAUAUAUAAGUCUGUCGAAAAGCAGCAUCAUUGAAGGUGAUAAUCCUGUUUAUGAUAUGGACUACCAGUGCAUUAUGAUACAAGUUUCUAAGAGUCGAGUUGUUUGGGAAUGCAGCUCAAAGAGGGUGGUAAAUUCCAUCUAAGGCUAAAUAUAGGUGAGAGACCGAUAGCAAACAAGUACCGUGAGGGAAAGAUGAAAAGAACUUUGGAAAGAGAGUUAACAGUGCGUGAAAUUGUUGAAAGGGAAACACUUAAAGUUAGACUUGUUAUUUAUUAGUUCAACCUUUUAUAAAGGAGUAUUCUGACAGAUAACAGACCAACAUCAAUUUUUGAGUGUUGGAGGAGGGUUUAAGGGAAUGUAGCAGUCUUUGACUGUGUUAUAGACCUUGAGCUUUGAUACAAUGCUUAAGAUUGAGGAAUGCAGUAAACCCUAAUUUUUUUUUGGGGAGAAAUAAAAUAAUAUUUUCUUUCAUUACUGAGGAUGUUGGUGCAAUAGCUUUAAAUGACCCGUCUUGAAACACGGACC